CCUGGCCGUCCACUCUGCCCGUUAUCACCGGGGAAGCCGGGCCUGCCGGCUGGUCCUUGGUCUCCCUGACGUCCCGGGGGGCCUCUUCCACCCGGCUCACCGGGUGGUCCGGGCGCCGGAUGCGCUGACCCGACCGACUGGACUGGGAUGUGGUUCAGGAUGGAGUUGUAGCGCGACAAGUGGCCUGAAAAGAAGAAUUGACGAUGAUGAUGAUGCAGGAAGGCACCGGGAAGGCAGCGCGAGGGAGAAACACAAUGAGCGACUCGAAUCGAGGCACCGUUGCGGGACCCUACAAAACACAAAAGCACAAGAGGAGAAUAAAGACGGGACUUGGAUGUGAAGGCACAUCUCACUAUAUUGAAAGUCAAAUUAUAAUUUUUGUUAAUACCCCCUCACCACUGUACACUACCACAAUCGGUACUUUGAAGUUUCGAUGCAUUUCAUUCAUUCAUUCACCUUGCGUUCCGCUUAUUCUAUUUCGAUAACAGGUUCUUUGUGUGCACAUAAAAGUGUACACAAAAUUGCCGCGGCUUCUGGGGGGCUUCUGGCAACACUGUAAAGCACACAGAUCUCAGAUCUGCUCACGCCAGAUACACGCGAAAGCUGCCAAGCGCACGAACGGAUAUCAGAGUGCAGCACAUUGUAAUCCUGAGGCAAAUAAAAGAGCAACGUUAGCUGCCUGGGAUUUCAUAAUCAAGUUAAGCAUAUUACAGUGUUAGAACAAAAAGCUUGUUUUAUCGCUUGUGUAACUUGUGUACACUAUAUAUAUAUGACAAUUAUAUUGUGGUGGACAGUCUCUCUCUACAGUCAAUGUAUUAUUAAAGUAACAAGAAAAGUGUUAAUUAAACUCACUUUGUGCCGAAGCCAAAGCGGCCACUGCGGCUUUGCGCCUUUGGAUAAUUAGAUGCGUCGUGAUGUCAGCGCGACAGCGACAAUAGUGGAUGCAGACUUCAACGCCCCAACCCGAGUCCUUGCACAGGACAAUGAGUCGGAGGAAAACAAUGUGAAAUUGCUGGCUUACAUGGCCAGUGUGAAAGCAGCUAAUAAUAAUAAUAAAAGGGUUUCUGGUAGCUGUCCAAAGGUUUGCAUUUGCUCCCUGAUGAUGUCUAUAUUUUCCUUAUAUAUAUAAUAGUGAUUGAGACCAUUUUUUUUUUACCGCAUUUAUUUAUUUUUUUACCGAGACCACCGACUGUGUUUGCUACUUGGGGACGCUACCGAAUGGGAGGAACAGAAAAGCACUGUUUAACAAGACUCUUAGCGUGAAGGUCACCCGUUUCGGAUACACGCUGUCCUUUCCAGUUGGACCAUGCGUGUGAAGUCUGACCUUGACGAGGAAGAGUUCAUGAUGACGGCGUGUUUAUCGUAACCUUUCCUUUCACAUGAGGCUCAUAAAUCAGUUCAGAGGGAAUCACAGCUUUUUCAAGAUGACAAACAUAAUGCUGCUUUAUACCAUGUCAAGGAAUAUAAAUAAAAAGACUCUGGCGGUUGACCCCAACGCAUUCCAACUCUACCGCUAAAAAUGUCCUGUUUCUUUAAAACGAUAUUUUCUUG